GACGAACGCUGGCGGCGUGCUUAACACAUGCAAGUCGAACGGAAAGGCCCUUCGGGGUACUCGAGUGGCGAACGGGUGAGUAACACGUGGGUGAUCUGCCCUGCACUUUGGGAUAAGCCUGGGAAACUGGGUCUAAUACCGAAUAUGAUCAUCGGCUUCAUGGUCGGUGGUGGAAAGCUUUUGCGGUGUGGGAUGGGCCCGCGGCCUAUCAGCUUGUUGGUGGGGUAAUGGCCUACCAAGGCGACGACGGGUAGCCGGCCUGAGAGGGUGACCGGCCACACUGGGACUGAGAUACGGCCCAGACUCCUACGUGAGGCAGCAGUGGGGAAUAUUGCACAAUGGGCGCAAGCCUGAUGCAGCGCCGCCGCGUGAGGGAUGACGGCCUUCGGGUUGUAAACCUCUUUCAGCACAGACGAAGCGCAAGUGACGGUAUGUGCAGAAGAAGGACCGGCCAACUACGUG
rnacentral:rRNA from 1 species